rnacentral:rRNA from 1 species
UACGGAGGGUGCAAGCGUUAUCCGGAUUCACUGGGUUUAAAGGGUGCGUAGGUGGGCAGGUAAGUCAGUGGUGAAAUCUCCGGGCUUAACCCGGAACUGCCGUUGAUACUAUUUGUCUUGAAUAUAGUGGAGGUGAGCGGAAUAUGUCAUGUAGCGGUGAAAUGCUUAGAUAUGACAUAGAACACCAAUUGCGAAGGCAGCUCGCUACACGAAUAUUGACUCUGAGGCACGAAAAGCGUGGGGAUCAAACAGG